rnacentral:miRNA from 1 species
AUAGGAAUCACCUAGGGAUCUUGCUAAAAUGCAAGUUUUUGAUUUGGUCCAUGUGAGAAGGGCAUGAGAUGCUACAUUUUUCACAAGCUCCCAAGUGAUGCCAAA